GCCUCGCCGGACGGCUCCGAUCGGUGGCCGCCGCCGCUCGCCGGUCGCCGCAGUUCGAUCUCCGAGAUCGAAAUCGCGCCCCCCCCCCCCCCUCCCCCCCGAGAAGAGAUGGUGAAGAUCGAAGAGCAGCCCGUCUCCGUCCACGACGCGGCCUACAAGCUGCAGCACUACCUCCUCGAGGGCAUCGGCGGCGAGGCCCAGCUCCUCGCCGCCGGCUCCAUCCUGUCGCGCCGCGACUACGAGGACGUGGUCGCCGAGCGGUCGAUCGCCGGCCUCUGCGGCUACCCGCCGUGCGCCAAGCCCUUGCCCUCGGACCGCUCGCGGAAGGGUCGGUACCGGAUUUCGCUGAAGGAGCACAAGGUGUAUGAUCUGCACGAGACCUACAUGUAUUGCUCGACGGGCUGCGUCGUCAAUAGCCGGGCUUUCGCGGGGAGCUUGCCGCCGGAGAGGUGCGCGGUUAUGGACUUGCUGAAGAUGCAGGAGGUUUUGAGGGUGUUUGGGGAUAAGGGCUUGGGCUCCGAGGAGGAGGCGGAGGGGAGGGUAGAUGGAGUUGGGGAAUUGGGGAUGUCUGGAUUGAAGAUAAAAGAGAAUGAAGAGAUUAGGGCAGGGGAAGUGCCGUUGGAAGAGUGGGUUGGUCCUUCGGAUGCGAUCGAAGGUUAUGUUCCUCAGAGAAGAGAUGAUAAGGCGGCCGCGGCGGCUUUGCGUGCAAAGAAGGAACCUAGAGAAGGGUCGAAAUCCAGAAAUUCUAAGCCAAGUAAAAAGGAGCUAAUAAUUAAUGACAUGGACUUCACAAGUACUAUAAUCACUCAAGAUGAAUAUAGCAUUUCAAAGUUGCCCAUGAAUUUAGCGGAGGAAGUUUCUGCCGCAACACUGAAAGAAUCGAAAGGAAAAAAAGUUCAUGGCAAAGAUACGCAGCGUCAUCGUACUGUAAUUGAGACUUCAUCUGCAAAGCCAGGAACUUCCAAGAUAAACCAAAGAGAAUUGAAAGGGAAGAGCUAUGACAUCACAGAAGAUGGAUACAUCUCUCAAAGAGUUCCUUCCCCUUCAGAAGUCUGUCAAAGUGGAUCCCUAAGUCAUGUUACAGGAGCAGAAGGAGCAGUUAAUGAUGGGAACUCUGAUGGAACAUCAACUGAAACCAAGCUGAAGCCCUCGCUUAAGUCUGCAGGUGCAAAGAAAGUUAAUCGUUCCGUUACAUGGGCUGAUGAGAAAGUUAGUGCCGCCAAUGGGGGAAACCUUUGCGAGAUUAGAGAAAUGGUAGACAAAAAAGAACCUCCACUAACAUCUGGCAUUGAAAAUGGGCAAGAUGAUGAAAAUCUGCUGCGCUUUUCAUCAGCUGAAGCCUGUGCAAUGGCCUUGAGUCAGGCUGCGGAGGCUGCUGCAUCUGGAGAAUCUGACGCCUUUGAUUCUGCUGGAUUGAUUAUAUUGCCACAUCCACAUGAUGCGGAUGGAAUAGAACCUGUGGAGGACACUGAUCCCCUGGAGGUAGAUCCAGCCCCUGUAAAGUGGCCAAAUAAACCUGGGAUUCCGACCGCUGAUUUAUUUGAUGCCGAUGACUCAUGGUAUGAGGCCCCACCGGAUGGAUUUAGUUUGGCUUUGUCUCCUUUCGCAACCAUGUGGGGUGCCCUUUUUGCAUGGAUAACAUCAUCGACUUUGGCUUAUAUAUAUGGCAAAGAUGAAAGCUUUCAUGAAGAGUAUAUGUCAGUUAAUGGCAGAGAGUACCCACAAAGAAUUGUAAUGUCCGACGGCCGCUCUACUGAAAUUAAGCAAACCCUCGCUGGCUGUCUUUCUCGAGCUUUACCUGGAUUGGUCUCUGAUCUCAGGCUGCCGAUGCCAGUAUCCACCCUCGAGCAUGGAUUGGGUCGCUUGUUGGAUACAAUGUCAUUUAUGGAUGCACUCCCUGCUUUGCGUGCAAAGCAGUGGCAAGUGAUUGUUCUUCUCUUUAUUGAUGCUCUCUCCGUUUGUCGAGUUCCUGUGCUGACUGCACACAUGACUAAUAGGCAUCCCUCGAUGCAGAAGGUGCUGCAGGGCGCUCAAAUGAGCAUGGAAGACUACGAGAUUAUGAAGGAUCUUCUAAUACCUCUCGGCAGAGCACCUCAGUUCUCGGCGCAGAGUGGAGCUUAGUGGUGCAAGAUUGGACCCAGUGAAGAACUGGUCAACUGCAAUUUUGACAGGCAACCUUAUACUGUCUCAUGCAAUGAGAUCUUCUUACUUAUGCUGAAAGCAGUUAAUUCGGAUACGGGAGUAUGAAAACCGAAGACUCGUGUAACUUCUGUAGGAACUUAGAAGGCUGAACAGAAUGAGGAACUCUUCAAAGCAGCUUGAUCAGCAACUUGGGGUCCCGUCAUUUUCCACCCAUUACCAGGAGCUAAUGUCCAAGAACCCUUCUUUCUUCUCUACUUCUGUGACAUUUGGCCGGGUCCUAGGG